CAGAAUCCUUCCUUUGUGUCUCUUGCUACUCACCUGAAGGUUCUCCCCCCACUGGGCCUUGCCUUCCAGCAGAGCAUCCAGCACAGCCCGGCUUGGCUCGCCAUUGGCAGGGUCAUUCCCACUGACCACAUAGUAGGAUGCACGCACUCGGCGGAAGAAGUCCAGAUCAGCAGUCUUACCACUGCAGUGAUUUGGAAUAUAGGCAAGAUCCACGUACACAGGAGGGCCAGAGCCACCCUUGGAGCCCAAGGCUGCUGUAGAGACAAGCAGAAUGCAUUGUUAUAAAAAAGAGCCCAGCGGUGGCGAUGCACACCUUUAGUCCCAGCACUCAGGCAGAGGGAGGCAGGCGGAUCUCAGUGUGUCUCAGUAUGUCCAAGGCCAGCCUGGUCUACAGAGUGAGUUCCAGGACAGCCAGGACUACACAGAGAGAACCUGUCUCGAAAAAAACAUAAACAAAGAAUACUUGGUCACCUCCCCACUUUCUUGAACAGAACAGCUAGAGUCUUUAGCCAGCACGUAACUGCUCCGACCCACCGUGUUCCCAUUCCCGCUCUCCUAACAUACUCACUGGAGCCUGCCUUGAGUCCAUUGACGAAGCCUUUGGACAUGGGACUAUGUCCAUCCUUUUCUUCUGCUGAGGUGACCUGGCUUGGAGUGCUGCGUGGUCGGGGCAGGGCCCGAGAGGUUCGGUCUACAGGCCCUUUACCAGGGGAAAUUCUCCACUGUUCUCCAGGGACAUAGGCCACCAUGAACAAAAUGUAUGCUAAAAGUCAGCCUUCCUUUUGGGUGGAUAGCCCCAAGCCUCUUGAGGACAUCAUAGCAAAAUUCUGAAGCGUUCAGUAGGUGUUUCUAUACCGACGCUUGUUUCCAAGAAGUGCCUGAGAAUGCGUCUCCCUGCAAACCACUUCCCAAGCAUUCCCUUCAUCUUAAUCUGAAGAAUAGCUAAGGAUUUUGUCUUAAGUUCCAUUCAUUUCUUACAUUGCUUAAAGUCUUUAUGGCCAAAAGGACAAGGCUAGAGCAUUUGGUGUGAAUUCCUAAUAAAAAACAACCCCAAACAUCA